rnacentral:lncRNA from 1 species
UUCACUUUUAGCUAUCACAUUUCGCUUCAUGAAAGUCAAUUUAACUAAUUUUUGAAACUAAAUUGAAUUAGAUUGAAUUCAAUAGAUAAAAUGUAAAUAUUCGAAAACUAUACAAAAAAAUAUUAUAAGUUGAAAAUCCUUCUCAUACGUCUUAAAAUGUUGGUCAAAGUUCUUGCAGUUUGACGCGAAACAUGACAACUAAAAAGUGAAGAGGAGUAGUAUGGAACUAGAUAUUAUGUUGAAGACCACAAGAUAUUAUGAAAAAUUUUGGUACGUUCAAUCAUAUACUACCUCUGUUCACUUUUACUUAGUCAUGUUUCACUUCUUUAUGAGAGUCAAUUCAACUAAUCUUUUUGGCUCAGCUAAAUUAAAUUAGAUUAUCAAUAUUUUAAAUAAAUAUUCGAAAAUUCUAUGAAAAAAAACAAUCAAUCUCAUAUUAAAAUAUAGAUUAAAGUACAUGCAGUUUAACUAUCGGAAAGCACAAGUAAAAACAACCGACCUCAAGAGUGGCGCGAGGAUAGUGAAUACCAGC